GUCUUCUCUCUUGCUCGCUCGCACUGCGCGCCGCCUAAGUGUGCGUAGCGCGGGCUGUGUGUUCGUGUGUACCGUACUCGGCCGCGUACGCGUAUCUGCCCCGAGAGUCCGUCCGCGCCUCGACUUGCUGACAUGGCGUCCUAGUGCCGCACACGGGCGAAGUCGCACGUCCUUUCCGCGCGCCCAAACGGGAAACGGAAUUCUCUACGCUCCUUGUCCCGGCUGUUGGCAGUCGCCGUCAUCGUCGACUUCGUCGUCCUCGCCGCCGUUGUACUCAUCCGCGUCGUCGUCGACGUCGAAAUCGCGAGGAUGCCAAGGUCACGAAUAAGACGGACACGAUAAUCCGCGGCCGAUGAGGAGCACAGCACGAGGACGAGUAGUAGAAGAAGAAGAAGGAGCAGCGGCAGCAGCAGCACGAGCAAACACGAGCAGCUUCGUUGUCGAGGCAGAAGGUGGCGGCGUGGAAAAGCAAAAGGGACGACGAGGACGACGAAGUGGCGGCGGCAGUGGCAACGGCGGGUACGCGACCAACAGCCAGGUCCCAUGUUAGCGGACAUCAACGGCAAUCUGGCGGAUCUGAGAAGCGAAGCGAUGGCGUCGCAGAGGUUCUGUCUGCGCUGGAACAACCACCAGAGCAACCUGCUCUCCGUCUUCGACCAACUGCUGCACGACGAGUCGUUCGUCGACGUUACGUUGGCUGUGGAGGGUCAGCUACUCAGGGCGCAUAAGAUGGUGCUGUCGGCGUGUAGCCCUUACUUUCAGGCACUGUUCAUCGGUCACCCCGACAAGCAUCCUAUAGUCAUUCUGAAGGAUGUGCCGUACGUGGACAUGCGCAGCCUGCUGGACUUUAUGUAUCGUGGCGAAGUAAGCGUCGACCAGGACCGGCUGACCGCGUUCCUACGGGUCGCCGAGUCCCUGAGGAUAAAGGGUCUGACGGAGGUGAACGAGGACAAGUGCGACCUGCCGAGCAUCACGUCGUCGCUGUUGGGCGGUGCUCAGAACACGGUGCCACCGCCGCCACCCAGCCUCCACCGGAUCAACCAGAUCGGUCCGCAUCACCAUCAUGUUUCACAGAAGAGGUUCCACCACAUGUCCAGCCACCCGCUGCUGGGUUCGGCAUUGACCGCGCCUAAGAGAAAGCGUGGCAGGCCGAGGAAGCUGAGCGGUUCGUCGGACACGCCGAUCGGCGAGGCCGCUGGCCAGGAUCUGCAGUCGUGCUCGGGCGCCGAUCUUGUCCAGGGCUCGCCGGAGAUGAUGGAGAUGAAGAUGGGCCUGGAUUUCCAGAGCGAAGCGAGCGGUAACGGCGCGAGGAGCGGCGGCCAGGCCGCGGGUGGUUCCUCCGCUUCGAACAGCGUGACGGGCUUCGCGACCGCCAACAAUCCCGCCGCCACGGCGUCCUCGGGCUCGUCGGGGAGGAAAGACGAACCCACGGAGAAUGGCACUGACACCCCGGAGCCGCCGUUGACGCGGGUCAAGCGAGAACCGGAACCGACGCCCAGUACCUCGGCGCAAGCCUCGGAUGAGACAUUCGCGCGACCGCACAGUAGACAAGGGAGUGAGGGUUUCAAGCAAGAUCAGCUGCCGAACCUGCCGAGCGAAAUCACCUUCGAGAUCUGCAGCUCGUCGUCGCCGUCGUCGCCCGCGGCAACCUCCUCGGCGGCCUCAGCGACGUGCGUCACCGAGGACACCUUCAACGCCGAAGACACCGGCGGCACUUUCAUCAAAGCUGAGAGGGUGGUCAGCGGCGUCCACUUCUUGACGGAUCGCGAGGAGGACCGAACCGAGCACCUUCUACUGCCCAAGACGGAGGCUGGUGAAGGCGAGCCGGAGGUCAGGAAGCAGUCUGCAAGUGGUGCGGCGAGGUGCUACCGUCGCGAACCCGUUGGUACAGGCACAAGUACAAGUUGCACGUGUCCACCCAGGUGGCCCAGCCGGCGCCGUUGUUCAAGUGCCACAGCUGCAACGCGUACUUCAAGUCGCGGAAGGGCUACAUCGGACACCUGAGCUCACGGCACUCCGACAACGAGAACGAUGAGAACCGCGAGGAACCCGCCAACAAGAAGCCUCGGAAGGCCUCGGACAUCGGCAAGGGCCCGGACUGGGAGCAGCAGAGGGAGAAGGAGGAGAAGCUGGUGGCGGAUAUAAUCGACCGGGUGAAGAGGGAGUGCGAGGCGCAGGGCGAGACGGUGACGAGGCGCGGCUACUCCAGGAGAUCGACGAUCAUGAACAGCUAAGGCCGAGCCUGCUGCAUCUGCGACCACGAGAGGCAAUC
rnacentral:misc_RNA from 1 species